AUUUUUUUGGUUUUUUUGAAUGUU
rnacentral:sRNA from 1 species